rnacentral:rRNA from 1 species
AGUGAACGCUGGCGGUAGGCCUAACACAUGCAAGUCGAACGGCAGCACAGUAAGAGCUUGCUCUUACGGGUGGCGAGUGGCGGACGGGUGAGGAAUACAUCGGAAUCUACUUUUUCGUGGGGGAUAACGUAGGGAAACUUACGCUAAUACCGCAUACGACCUACGGGUGAAAGCAGGGGAUCUUCGGACCUUGCGCGAUUGAAUGAGCCGAUGUCGGAUUAGCUAGUUGGCGGGUUAAAGGCCCACCAAGGCGACGAUCCGUAGCUGGUCUGAGAGGAUGAUACGCCACACUGGGACGGAGACACGGUCCAGACUCCUACGGGAGGCAGCAGUGGGGAAUAUUGGACAAUGGGCGCAAGCCUGAUCCAGCCAUACCGCGUGGGUGAAGAAGGCCUUCGGGUUGUAAAGCCCUUUUGUUGGGAAAGAAAAGCAGCAGGUUAAUACCCCGCUGUUCUGACGGUACCCAAAGAAUAAGCACCGGCUAACUUCGUG